rnacentral:rRNA from 1 species
AUGCCUUUUCCUGUUCCUGUUGCUCCAUGGGAGGACAUUUAUAUGGACUUCGUCUUGGGCUUGCCAAGAACAAGACGAGGAGGUGAUGCUGUAUUUGUGGUCGUGGAUAGAUUCUCUAAGAUGGCUCAUUUCAUCCCAUGCCGCAAGACAACAGAUGCUCAUCAUGUGGCAAACCUAUUCUUUCGAGAAGUGGUCAGACUUCAUGGAGUUCCAAGGUCCAUUGUCUCAGACCGUGAUAGCAAGUUUCUUGCUGCAUUUUGGCUCACUUUGUGGAAGCAAUUCAACACCGAAUUGAAAUUUUCUAGCACUGCUCAUCCACAAACAGAUGGACAAACGGAAGUGGUGAACAAGUUUUUGGGUAAUCUGGUUCAUUGCAUUUGUGGAGAAAGAAAGGGACAAUGGGAUCUGGCUUUAUUUCUUGCAGAAUUCUCCUACAAUAACUCCAAGCAUAGAUCCACAUGA